rnacentral:rRNA from 1 species
GGCGAACGCUGGCGGCGUGCUUAACACAUGCAAGUCGAACGGAAAGGCCCUGCUUUUGUGGGGUGCUCGAGUGGCGAACGGGUGAGUAACACGUGAGUAACCUGCCCUUGACUUUGGGAUAACUUCAGGAAACUGGGGCUAAUACCGGAUAGGAGCUCCUGCUGCAUGGUGGGGGUUGGAAAGUUUCGGCGGUUGGGGAUGGACUCGCGGCUUAUCAGCUUGUUGGUGGGGUAGUGGCUUACCAAGGCUUUGACGGGUAGCCGGCCUGAGAGGGUGACCGGCCACAUUGGGACUGAGAUACGGCCCAGACUCCUACGGGAGGCAGCAGUGGGGAAUAUUGCACAAUGGGCGGAAGUCUGAUGCAGCAACGCCGCGUGCGGGAUGACGGCCUUCGGGUUGUAAACCGCUUUCGCCUGUGACGAAGCGUGAGUGACGGUAAUGGGUAAAGAAGCACCGGCUAACUACGUG